AUCCAGCUGAUGAGUUCCAAAUAGGAUUAACCGCACGUCCUGGAU
rnacentral:hammerhead_ribozyme from 1 species